UACGUAGGGGGCAAGCGUUGUCCGGAAUCAUUGGGCGUAAAGCGCGUGUAGGCGGCUAGGUAAGUCUGCUCUGAAAGCCCGGGGCUCAACCCCGGGAGGCGGGUGGAUACUGUCUAGCUCGAGUCCGGAAGAGGAGUGUGGAAUUCCUGGUGUAGCGGUGAAAUGCGCAGAUAUCAGGAGGAACACCCGUGGCGAAAGCGGCUCUCUGGGACGGUACUGACGCGAGACGCGAAAGCGUGGGGAGCAAACAGG
rnacentral:rRNA from 1 species